GGUUGUGGCUCAGUGGUAAAGCACUCGCCUAGCAUGUGUGAGGCACUGGGUUCGAUUCUCAGCACCA
rnacentral:tRNA from 1 species